UCCAUGAGGUAAGUAUUAUUUUCCCUGAUGUGUUGGAACAAAGCAGUCAUUCUUAAUUGCCCUCCACCUCCACGUCCCUCUUCUCCGCCCCCAGGCACUAGCUGUGGCUUCCAAAGCCGAGCUGCUAGGGGUGGCCUUCUACUGGAAAGCGGGCAAGCAAGGAGGAGGAAGGGAAGGCGGAGGGUUUUCCUGUAAUUCGGGUGGCACAGCAAAUGUUUUUCUGUUACCUGUUUAUUUAGGAGGGCUGCAGGAGAUUAUGGGAGAGCUGGCGGCUUGACAUUUCAAUCCCCUCUCCUCCUCUCCUUCCCAGCCACUUGUCCUUUCCCCUGAGUCACUUGCACCUUCAUGGUGGUCUCUUGAGCCCAGCUUCUGGCUCAGUCUGGUGUCCACUUCUGUAGGUUGUGCAGCUGCACGGGCGAUGGUAAUGUGCAUCCUGUUAACCAUCCAGGCUCCUCAGCUCUGUGAGUGAUCCCGCCGAGUUCAGCACUCCAGCCUCCCUUCCCACCCUACCCCUAGCUGGCCUCACGCUCCAGUCAUAUUCAUAUGCUUGACCCCCCCCUUCACUCUGAAGCUUCAGCCCUCCCGGUCCCUGCACCCCACUGCUCCAUCCUUUUAUCUGGAAUGAUCUUCUUGUCCUCCUUGACUAUUUGGGGGUGAACUCUUCUUAAAUCGUAGCUCAGGAAUCACCUCCCAGGAGAAUUGAGGACACUCUUUCUCUUGGGCCCCAACCAUGCAUCUGAGGUUUGUCUGCAACACCAGUGUGUUCAUUUGUUUAAAUGUCUGCCUUCUCACGGUAGAGUUGAAGCACUUCGCAUUUGGAGUACUGAGUACAUAAUGAUUAAGGCUAAUUAAUGUUUAUUGAAUAAAAUGAAUAUACUUUAUAGGUGACUCAAAGUUACACAGGACUCCAAGACUGUCUUAAUUCCAUGCUCUUCUGCCUUCUGCAAGCAACUAUGACAUGGAAACGUUAGGCGAGUCAUAAACACACUGAAGUACCCAGUCUCUUAGCUAUGGCCCCAGAGACCCAUCUCAAUGCAUACAUACUUAAAAAAUAUUAAAAUCAGGCUCUUUAGAUAAUUGGUAUCUUGCUUUUAUCACUCAAUGUUAUUUUAAUAUAUUCUUAUUGUUAUUUUAAGAAGUAUUUAUGUAGCUAAAUAAUAUUCUAUGACAUGAUUACCAUAUUUUUAAUCUAGUGUUUUUCAAACUGGCUCAUCACCUAUUAAUAUGUAGGUUUAGUGAGUUGCAAUCAACACUUUAGAAUGGAUGUAUUGUACGUAGUAAGAAUAUAGUCUCAUGA
rnacentral:lncRNA from 1 species